rnacentral:piRNA from 1 species
UGGUGCUGUCAGCUGUUGGGAAUUGA